AAUAAACGCUGGCGGCGUGCCUAAUGCAUGCAAGUCGAACGGAUAGAUGUCUUCGGACAGCUAUUAGUGGCAAACGGGUGAGUAAUACAUCGGAACAUACCCUAGAGUGGGGGAUAACGUAGCGAAAGUUACGCUAAUACCGCAUACGUACUAAGGUGGAAAGCGGGGGAUCGUAAGACCUUGCGCUCAUGGAGUGGCCGAUGUCAGAUUAGCUAGUUGGUGGGGUAAAGCCUACCAAGGCGACGAUCUGUAGCUGGUCUGAGAGGACGACCGGCCACACUGGGACUGAGACACGGCCCAGACUCCUACGGGAGGCAGCAGUGGGGAUAUUGCACAAUGGGCGAAAGCCUGAUGCAGCAACGCCGCGUGA
rnacentral:rRNA from 1 species